rnacentral:lncRNA from 1 species
CUCCCAGUCUCAUCCCUUCUUAGAACCAUGGCAACAGCCUCCACACCAAAUGCUCGCCAACUGGAUGAUCCAGCUACACACUUUGACCCUCAUUCUUAUCCAGGGGAUCUGACAGCAUCACCCCAUGGCCUGCACAGCUAGAGGAAAACACCUCUCUGACUUGGUUGGGGACUAGCCCUUGGAUAGGUGCUGGCUCCACCCAAGCCACCAUCCCUGGCUUUGCCAUGUGCCCGCCUGCAGCCACUGCCUCAUAGACAGACACUUCCCUGGUUACUUAUUUCUACGUUUCUAAGGUCUUGCUGCUCUCUGCCUGGCAAAUGCUGGGCCCCUGCCAUCUGACUUGGGCCUUUGACUUUCUCUGUUGCUUGUAUGCAUGUGUGUGUCCUGGGUGAAUCUUGGGUGCAGGCAUUUACUCUUCUCUGUCCCUGGCACACAUAGACUUCAUUCUUUCUUGCCCACUGCAGUCCUGAAAGCUGCCAGUCUCAGGGAUGUGCUUUCUUCUUGCUUGUAUGUGGCUUGUACUUAGUGGGGUUUUCCACUUGGAACCCCAUACAGGGUGUGCCUCCCACGUUACUGCUUCAUUCUAGUUGGAGACAGGUUGCCUGGCAGUCUCUACCCCACAUCUGAGUUCUGCCCAGUGGCACGCUGUUUACCAUAACCGCCACAGUGCUGGGUAUGGCCACCAUGUCCAGUUUACACAAACAAGUGUGUUGUUGAUGUUAUAUUCUUAUUUGUGUUUACUGAACUGCACCCCUCUGAAUAGGUUUGCCUUUUGUCAUUGUUUAUGUUUGAUGACAAGAUCUCAAAUAGGCUGGCCUGGAACUUACGACAUAGUUCAAGCAGGCCCUAGUUUCAUGAUAGUCCAAUUGCAUUAGUCUCCAGGGUGCUAGGAUUACAAGCUUGAGCCACCAAGCUCUGUAUAUAUACAAACAAGUAUUGGGUGGGCUUUAGAAACUGCUUGGUCUCAGUAUUCCCUACUCUUAAGAAUACCCAAAUGCUGACUCUAACAUUUUAUGUUUAGAGUUGUUUAAAGUACAAUUUUAAUGUAGUUUAUUGUUAUUUUGUGUUAAUGUGUGUGAUGUGUGUGCCUGGGAGGGGACAGACAUGUUACAGCAUGAGUGUGGAAAUCAGAGAACAGCUCUGUGGAGUCAGUUCUCUUCUCCCACCUCUUCAUGGCUUCCUUCUGGGGAUGGAACUUAGGUCAACAGCCUUUGUGGACAGCACAGUACCUACUAUGGCUUCCAAAGUGGCUUCUUAAAUCACAAGAGUAUAUAUUCCUGAAAAAAAUUACAUAAGGGGCUGGAGAGAUGGCUCAGUGUGUAAAGUAUGUGCUACACAUGAAGUCCGGAGUUCAGAUCCGUAGCACCCUUUGCCAGGAGGAAGAGACAGGGGAUGCCUGAAGCAAGCCAGCUGGCUAGCCUAGCAGAAUCAUCACGCUAUGGGUUCAAUUGAGAGAACCUGUCUCAGCAUAUAAAGUGGAGAACAAUGAAAGACAUCUGCUUUGGGCCUCCACACUCUUGAAUGUGUGCACCUGCAACCCCACACUUGUGCACCCCCGCACAGACACACAUGCAUACAUAUAAACAACUAUAAAUUUUGAAUGCCUUGCAGUACAAGAGUAAGUACAGAGAAAGCCCUCUGUCUCGUCUCUCCUCAUUGCCCUCAGUUCUUCAGGGUUGGUAUCUAUUCCUCGGAGGAUACUCUGCUUGCUUCUGCCUCCCCACCACUGAAUGAACAAUUCUCUGCUUGCAAGCUCUUCUUCAAGACUCAGCUCAAGCAGUAUAUUGCGGUGCACACUUAUAAUUCUAGCACAUGAAAAGUAGAGGCAGGAAAAUCAGGGAUUCAAUGUCAUCCUCAGCUACUAGCAAAUUCAAGGCCAGCCUGGACUAUAUAAAAGUCCACCUCAACAAAACAGGACAAAAUAAAAGCACACCUGAUCAGUGAGCCAGCUUUCCUGAUGGAAUUAUGCUUUUCAGUAUUCCCAGUUCCAAGCUAUAAAGACCAUGUAUAUCCCUCUCUGUGUCAUCUGGACUUUGGGCAUAUCUGGACUUCCCUACCAGAUCCAUGGGUGCCAUACCUGGUUUUCAAGAAAUAUUUAUUCAGGGGCUGAAGGUGAAAUGACUCAGCCUGUAAGAUGCUUGCUGCCAAACCUGAUGACCUGAGUUUGAUCCCUCGGACUCUCACGCUGUCCUCUGACAACAUGCCAUUUACAUACAUGCCUGUGUGGAUGAUGCCUGUGUGGAUGCACUUCCUUGGAAAGCCUGAUGGCAUGACUUUGACCUGGAGCCCAACACUGAAGGAGAGAAACUGUUCCUAGAAGUUGUCCUGUUGACCUCCACAUGUGCAGUACGGCAAAUGGGUACACACACAGUGCAAUAAAUAAGUAAAUGAGACUAAGUGAAAUUUGAAGAGAGACCACUAUUUGCCUGCUAUUUUUUAUUUUUCCAAAAAAAAAAAAAAGUAGCAAAAGUCAAAAGAGUAGUGACGUAGUGACGUGUAACAACUGUUCAUGUGCCGGGCUAAGACUUCCAGUGCUUACCCCACGUGUCACGCAAACAAAAGAGGAAAAUCAUAGAUGUUAAACUCUGUCUCAUUGUAGAAAUACAUAUUUCCACAUAUGUAAUAUUUUACAUAUUUCUACAUAAAUUUGUAGAAAUAGACCUAUUUCAUCAAGAGCUGAACACUCCCCCAUCUACUUUUAAGACAGGUUUUUACUGUGAGAUGAUUAUGUAUUGACAUUCAGUUAUAAGGAACAACACAAGAGAGACCCGUGCUCUCCAUCUACUCCCCCUAACACCAUCACCCUAAGUAACUCUAGUGUGAUAGUAUAGGUUACUUUGCUUUAAAAUUUUAUUGGCUGGGUGUGGUGGGUCACAUCUUUAAUCUCAGCACUGGGGAGGCAGAGGCAGGUGGAUCUUUAUGAAUCUAAAGCCAGUCAGGGCUACAAAAUGAGACCCUGUCUCAGAAAAUAGGAGGCAGGCUCAGAAGUUAAAAGCACCCGUUCUUCCAGAAAGAGAGAAAGAAAAGUAGGGAGACGUGAUUACAGGCAAUUAAAAUUUCAGCUGUGUGCUUUGCUUAGCCAAGAAGUAGGACAUAGAUUUUUUGAGCAUAAACACAUAUUACAUGAAAUUAGACUUCUAUAGAGGAGGUGAGGUGACAUUCCUCUGUUCAGAGCUGGACAUGAUGGUGCACACCUGUAAUUCCAACACUUGAGACACUGAGCCAGGAGGCUCAGUUCAAGGCCAUUCUCAGCUGACUUACAUAGUUGAGUUUGAAUUUAACAUGGGGUGCUGGUUUUUUGGGACUGUACCCCCCCUAAAUUUUUUAAUCUUAUAUUCAAGUAGAUAAAAAGAGAAAUGAAAAAUUCCCUAAAGUUAAAGAACAUAUAUUCUUCUGUCUUUAAACUGGACAAUGGUUGAAGUAAGGAUGACAUGCUGUGUGUGGGCUUCAGGGUUGCUCUUUGGGGUUUCAUUUUAAAAGAACAAUACGUAUACUGGAAAUAGUGGUUUUGAUGAUGAAAAACCACUGAUUUCAAGCUAAAAACAAGUCCGAUAGCAACAUUAUUCACAGGAGCUAAUCUGUGAAAGCAAUGUCCAUGCAUGGGUGAACAGACAAGCAGAAGAUGGCAUAUGCAUACACAAUGAAAUACACUUCAAGGAGCUGGAGGACUGCUCUGCAGUUAAGCAUGGAGGUUUGGUUCCAGCCCUCACGUGCUGACUCACAACCAUCUGUUACUGCAGUUUCUAGGAAUCUGAUGUCCUCUUCUGGCCUUCAAGGGCACCAGGCAUGCAUGUGGUGCAUCUACAUAUAUUCAGGCAAAACACUCACACACAUAAAAUAAAAAUAAGCAAUACUGUUCAGCUUUAAGAAGGGAGGGUUUUCAGGAGAGUGCUUCAAUAUGGAUGAACCUUGAGAAUAUCUUGCUAGGUGAUAUGAACCACUCACAAGAGACGAGUGGGCUCCUUAUGGCUCCAGUGUGAUAGACAUCAGCCGGAAAAUAGGGUGGCAGUUGCCAGACAGGGUGUGGGGUAGGUAGUUAACUAUUCAACAGCACAGAGUUUCAUGUUUGCAAGACCAGAAGUGCUUCUGAGAAGGCUGUGGCCACCUGUGUAACAAUGUGAAUUCUUUGCUACUUAAGUAUCCAAGUUUACAAGAUUGAAGGCAAUAACUUUAUGGGUAUCUUGCCACAAUCUUUCUUGUUUUAAUGAAUAAAUGGUUGCAUUUGCUUUCAAGUUUGAGGCAAGAGGAAUCCCAAAACAACAGGAUACUGCAGCCAUUCAUCUAUUCCUUUUUUGACUGAUCUUUAAGGCUGAUUUUACUAUUACAAUCAACAUUGGAUGGAACAUCUUAGCCUGUGUUACUUAGAGAUCAAAUAUAAAAUUUUCUCAGGCUGUGGAUGUAGCUAAGUGAAUGGGGUUGCUUGUUUGAGAUACACAUGUGAUCCUUAGCAGCACAUGAACUGGGCGUAGCAGCACAUGACUGUAAUCCCAUGACUAGAGAGAUGGAAGCAGGAAGAUCAGAAGUUCAGGGCCAUCCUUGGCUACAUAGAAAGGUCAAGAUUAGCCUGGACUACAUGAAACUCCAACUGGGAGAGAAAGGGUUGAGAUUUCUUGGAGUUAGAGAGAUCACCCAGUGAUCAUCUGAGCAUCUGAGUUCAACUCCCAGCCCACAUCACAGCCCACAUUACAACUAACUGUAAGUCAAGCUCCAAGGGAUCUGACACAUCUGUUCCUCACGGACAUCUGAACACCCAGGAGCACACACACACACACACACACACACACACACGUGCACACACAUUAGCAUGUACACAGGUACACAAAGGCACACACAUGCACACACACUCUUUUUUAAUUAAUUUAUUUUUUAUUAGGUAUUUUCUUUAUAUACAUUUCAAACGCUAUCCCGAAAGUUCCCUAUACCCUCCCUUCACACACACUCUUUUUAAAUGAUUUUUAUUUUUACUUUGUGCAUUCAUGUUUUGCUUACACGUCUGCGUGUAUGUCUGUGUGAGGGUGCCAGAUCUUCUAAAACUGGAAUUAUAGACAGUUAUGAGCUGCUGUGGGGGUGCUGGGAAUUGAACCAGGGUCCUUUGGCAGAGCAGUCAGUACUCUUUAACCGCUGAGCCAUCUCUCCAGCUCCACACACUUUUUU